CAUUAUGCUCUAUUUGACUUUUUAAAACCAAUUUUGACCAAACCGUUCACCCAAGGCAGGUUCGGUCACUUUUAAACUGACUGUUCUCAAGAAUUUUUACCUACUCUUCUUAUUUUUGCACUCCUCAUCGAAAUUGCACUUCAAUAUUAUGAAAAAAAUUUGUAAAAAUGUUGAAUCUUUUCUUGAAAGAAAAAGAAAUAAUAUUAAGAAGAAGAAGGAUGAGUUAAAA
rnacentral:lncRNA from 1 species